UGAGUAAUACAUCGGAACGUGUCCUGUAGUGGGGGAUAGCCCGGCGAAAGCCGGAUUAAUACCGCAUACGAUCUACGGAAGAAAGCGGGGGAUCCUUCGGGACCUCGCGCUAUAGGGGCGGCCGAUGGCAGAUUAUCUAGUUGGUGGGGUAAAGGCCUACCAGGGCGACGAUCUGUAUCUGGUCUGAGAAGACGACCAGCCACACUGGGACUGACACACGGCCCACACUCCUACGGGAGGCAGCAGUGGGGAAUUUUGGACAGUGGGGGCAACCCUGAUCCAGCAAUGCCGCGUGUGUGAAGAAGGCCUUCGGGUUGUAAAGCACUUUUGUCCGGAAAGAAAACCAUCGCCCUAAUAUGGUGGUGGGAUGACGGUACCGGAAGAAUAAGCACCGGCUAACUACGUGCCAGCAGCCGC
rnacentral:rRNA from 1 species